AUUUCAUUUAUGAGGAUCCGGGUUAGAAUAGGUUCCAAAUUAUCAUCAACAAAUACAUGGUACGCUGUGUAAAAAAGAAAAGUUCACAAUUUGCUGCUCCAGUGACCACAGAUAUCGUAGUUGUGUUCGCUGCUACAAUGUUACUGAUAUUGACACAAGCUUCAAAGAUCAGCUGCAAAUAAUAUGUUUUAUUUCACCUACCGUCAUGAAUUUGUCAUUUUUUCCUCAUCCUCUCUCCUUUUUCAAAAUUAUUGGGGCGGCAUCUAUUAGUUCCUUAUUGAGAUUGCAUCUACUUAGACCGGCGUAAGUAGUGUAUGUGUACAUGUGCAUACAUCCAAUUUAUGUACAUGUAAAUGAUUUCAUGACCUGUAGAGAUUCAUAUAAAACUUUGUCUCAGGAUAUAAGAUAUAUCACACAUUACACGUAUACAUUAAUCAUAUAAGCAAAAUCAUCAAAAUUCAGUUUGUUACUUUCGCUUUACAUUUACAUUGUUCAAAGCCUCUCUAGAAUUUUUUUUUCAGAUAAAAUGUAAAAUUUAAGUGUAAACCACAUGUAUCUUAUAAUAGUUAUAGUUUAGCAUAGUUCAAAUUAUUAUUCAAGGUUGUAAAUAUGCUCAAACUUUACAUGUCUUACGAAAUUAUGAUAAUGUAUAAUUUUUCAAGAUUUUAAGGGGGGGGGGGGUGUACUUCUGAUAGCUUCUAAAAUAAUAUGUCAACAUAUGAUUUUCUUGCUCAAAUCCUUAUUCUAAGAUAAUAAUCUGUAAAUCAAAAACAAUUUAUUCAAGGUUUAGUCCAUCAAAAUUAGGGAAAAGACCAAUAUUGACGUCAAAUGGUAUCUCCUACAGUAUUUCCUUUCACAUGUUUGGGCUCAUAAAGGAUACAUUGUGAAAAUAUUUAUUCUAAUUUAUUAGAAUAAAUGACUACAUACCAUUAAAUAAAGGGUAUAUAGUCUAUGUUGCUUAUUACAGCCCAUUUGUUUGGGAAAAUAAUAAUUAAAAAGAAAAAUAAAGAAGGAGGAGUGCAUUUUCCUUAAUGUUGAUGGGGUGCUUACUUUUGAGAAGCAAUAACAACGAAAAUAGCAUGUCAACAUAUAUAUUUUUCAAUGUCUAUCUAUUACUGGAAAGUAUAUUUAUCUUGUAAAGGCAAUUUUUUCAUGAUUGAGUCCAUUUAAGGCCGAGUAUAGAUCUACAUUCAAGAAAUGCAGCAUAAUUAUGAUUUGAUGGGAAUUAAAACAGCACAAUAUAAUGCAAUUGUAAUAAAUAAAAUAAAUUUUCUAAAAGUGUUUAACAUUACAAUUUUGAUUUGUCAAUAACAAAUACAAGUGCCACUCCCACACUUCUACGCAUGAUAUGUCACACAUAACAACAGUAAACAGCUGUAACAGGAAGGGAGAAAAUUCAACGGACCAGAACGUGAUUCGACCCCCCCCUCCCCCCCCCAGAAUCUCUAUCAACUGAGCUAUCUGGUCACCGGCGAUCGAACUCAGCUGACCGCUACACAGCAUUGAUGUCAAUAUUCGCUCAGAGCACAUGGGGAUAUUCUUUAAAACAGUAAAGUAUCACUUUCACCUAAUGAGAAAGUACAGUGGAAUUCAAAUCAAAACCAAAUCUGGCCAAUGAUCCCCCCUGUUACAAAAACAAAAAUGAAAGUUUAGUCUAAACGAAAACACAAAAGAAAAAUGCAGCUACAUGUACAAGUAUGUUAAAAAAAGUCACGGGUUCUAUUUCGCUCUUGGAAAUAUCUGUACAUAUAAGUGAGUAGAUAUCAAAAAUUAUUUUACAGAAAUGUAUUAUUUCUGAAGAUUAAAAAUAUCAUAUAUAAACGAUAUUUAAAUAUGUAUUUCAAGACAUUGGUCAAAGUUGGGUUUUUAAUACCUUUGGUUAAAAUCAAGUCAUUAAUAACACCCGGUACUCCACUAAUAUGGAAAUGAAUGAAAUAGUGAUUGAUUGGUUUUCUCGGUAAUAUAGAUAUAAUCAUAAUAAUACAUGCACAUAUACAUGUCAUAAAUGGAUGAUAAAGAGUUUAUUAUUUAACAGUAGAUUGCUUCACUCCAGCCAAUACUUGACAUACGAGACGACAUAUGAUAUAUUUGAUUUGAACACAUUGUAUGAAACUUAUCUAGACACAGUUCAAAACCUUUCUACAAACGUUUUACACAGUUACUUGUUCUCAAAGUUUUGGUUUCUCUAUAAAAUUACCGACUGCUAACACGAAAAUACACUGAAUGUAUAUAGUAAAGCAUAUGUUUGAUUACAAAGAAACCAGAUCUGAAAUAGGAAUUUGAGAUGUUGAUUUAAUUGCAUAUUAUACAUGAUUUAUUUAAACACAAUCCCAGUGGGGGUUUCCAAUGAAUUCAAGAUGGCUAAAAAUGUUUUUGUCAUGAAUGGAAACUCUUUGUCUAUUUUAAAAUCAAAUUCAUCAAAAUGCACUGAUAUUCUCGUCAAACGAGUCCCAUUCUAACAUCAUCCGCUUUGGUUUUAUGUCUGCUACUAGUAUGCAUGGGUGUGUACAUAUGAUAUAUACUACGAGGAUAAGAUAGGUUUUAUAUUGGUUAUAUAUGUAAAAUUCCAAUCGAUUUUGUUAUAAUCAAACACGACUUUAAUGGAAAAACACCAGAAUUGCCUAGCUACAGGGCGCCGCCAUUGUGGACACCCAAAGUUGUGCGGAGAAGAAAAGUUGACAGGAGAUCUGAUUGGUCAUUAACAGAAAAUCUUUGUGAUGGAAUUUAAUAGUGAAAUAUAAGUGAUAAAAAUGACAGGUGACAUAACAGAAUAUGUAGAAAGAUACAGAAGUUAUAAGGGAAGAUCUGAGUGGAGAGGUGAUAUUUGGAUGGACAAUUUCAUUCAGUGCGGAUCUACACUAGUUGUAAACAGGCCAAAAUUUGAAGGAAAAACGCAACGGCAAGCCAUAUAUUUUUUGGUGGAAUUUUGAAGGGGAGAUGAUGAACUUUGCUGAAUGGUGACUGAUUUUUUGAAAAUUGGCUUAAUAAAUAAUUGACAGUGAUUGGAAUUUGUAUGGAAGUCUAUGGGAAAACAUUUGGUGGUGUUUGUCCUAUACUGAGGUAGCGAGAACCAGUUUAUGAGGUAAGUGUAAGAAAGUAGUGCAUUUUUAGCGCCAUUUGUCAGUUUUACAAUAAAAUGGAUGCAUUUUUUGAUAAUUUGAAAGAAAAAGUAAAUCGUAAAAGUGUACGGGGCCCCCAAGGGGGCACCUGCAUCAUUUGGAUGGGUAGGAUUUCCCCCUCUGGCUAUGGGCUACAAACUGUCUACUGGCCAGAGGAGGGAAGAAAGGUGGAAAAGGCCCACAGAGUUGCCCUUAUGGCAGAGUGGAAACUGACUCGGAGUCUUCCAUGCCUUCCUUGGCCCAGGUGAAUUCAUCACCGAUGUUUUUGGCCAUAGGUAUAUUCGCCCCACAUGUCUGCUCAGUGCACACAUGACUGGGAUUGUUCUUGAGAUGUUGUCCUUUGGGGCAUAUUUUGUUUUUAGUUACUAAAGAUAUUAUUUUGUGACUACUGGUCACAUUCUCUGCAAUUGAGAAGACGGUUUGUGUAGCUAGCUGGAAGGGGGUUUCCCCUACCCCAGAAUAUAGGGCGUUAUUAUACAUCCCAUCGCACUGAAUUCCUAUGGUUUUUGGACUUUUGGCCUCCCCUCAAUUUAUUAAUAUCAACUAAUUUCUUACAUCUUUUUUUCAUAUCAGACUUGUUUAAGGUGAUUACUUUUUGCAUAAUGGUGUUGCUUGUUUUUUGUAGAGAAGACUCGGCUGGAGGUGGGGUGUUGGUUGACAUGAGGAUUUUACGAAGAGAAGAACUGCCAAUGGGGGUUUGACUGAGACCUAUUUGUAGGCCAUAGUUUAUUGCUGCUGCUUUCCUUCCCCUGGAACCGGAUUCUACUUCGACAUAGAGGCUAUACAUUUUGGACACGUAGGUGCAGGUGUUACAUUUAAGCCGUAACCUAGUGCCCAGGCCACGCCUCUCUUCAGAGUCCAAGUCCCAGGUUAGGUCACCAUCACAGCCUGGAUUGGCCCGCCCACGUUCUUUGAACUCUGCGUUGAACAUGCCACAUGUCUUUUCCAGAUGCAGCAGUCUGUAGGAGUCAUUUUCACACCUGCCGAAAUCAGUUAUGUACCUGAUUACUUCCUAACCAGGCAAGUUCAUGUUCAGAAAUUAGAGUUACUUCCCUUUGACUAUACUUGUUCUCAAAGUUGAGUCAAGGGGCUCAUCACAGUCCCUAACAACUGUUUUUUGUAACUUUCUCUUCAUAUGAAUGAACAAUUAUUGUAAUGUUGCUAUAAUUUAGAGAGUUUAUUAAUUAUAAAAUUAAUUAAGCUAAUUAAAUUUACAGGAUCUUAGGGAUACCCCUUAUUUCAGCCAAUUUGGCCAUAUGUGGGCCUAUUCUGAGAAUUAGAAAAAAUAUUUUCUACUCAAAGAGGUUUUGUUUCAUAAUUUAAGAAAGUUAGAAGAAUUGUAAUCGUAACCCUGAGGAUUCAGCCUGAUUUAAAGUCUCAUGGUUUCCUUCCUUUUUCAGGGGUCUUGGCUGAAGCAGUCGGUGGCACCCAGGCCUGAGCAUCAUUUCCUGCUCCUCGCACAGAGAGGGUGGAUGCGUCACCAGUUGUAGGGUUUCCCUAUCAACUCUCGUGAAUGGUGCAGGAAAAACACCAGAAUUGCCUAGCUACAGGGCGCCGCCAUUGUGGACACCCAAAGUUGUGCGGAGAAGAAAAGUUGACAGGAGAUCUGAUUGGUCAUUAACAGAAAAUCUUUGUGAUGGAAUUUAAUAGUGAAAUAUAAGUGAUAAAAAUGACAGGUGACAUAACAGAAUAUGUAGAAAGAUACAGAAGUUAUAAGGGAAGAUCUGAGUGGAGAGGUGAUAUUUGGAUGGACAAUUUCAUUCAGUGCGGAUCUACACUAGUUGUAAACAGGCCAAAAUUUGAAGGAAAAACGCAACGGCAAGCCAUAUAUUUUUUGGUGGAAUUUUGAAGGGGAGAUGAUGAACUUUGCUGAAUGGUGACUGCUUUUUUGAAAAUUGGCUUAAUAAAUAAUUGACAGUGAUUGGAAUUUGUAUGGAAGUCUAUGGGAAAACAUUUGGUGGUGUUUGUCCGUCCUAUAAUAUCCUGCACAGCAACAUUCAACAGCUGUACAAUGCUGACAUGGUCUGUUGAACACAACUUGUUUGAUAAGUGAAAGUUUGUAACUCGAUUCCACUCACGAUGCAAAACCGUCCGAACAAUACUUGUAGCAGAUUUUUAUCCGUUUCGCCAGCCAUCUGCAUCUGCAUGAAUCAUGUGCACACUUUCCAAUGUUCUGUGUACACGUGCGUCUAUGUGUAACAUAAUGCUAAUGACUGCUUUUGUCCCUGAACUUUUGUAAUACCGUGAUGUUUCUAUAUGUUGUGUGUACCAUGUCUACGCUUCUCUUAAAUGCCUUAACUUUAUACAACAUAACUUACAUGCAAUUAAUUAAUUGCAUGUUAUUAGGUUUUCUGGUUUUAAAUCGAUUGUAUAUCUUAUCAAUUAUUGAUUUUGUAUGCUUAGUAUGUAAAUAUGUUAUAGUAAGUUUCAAAGAUCUAUUAUUAGCUCAUGUUUUUCAUUCAUGUAAAUAUACCAACUCUAAAUAAAAUGUUCUGUACUUGACUUGUCAAUAAAUGUUAACAGUAUUAAUAAUAUAGUAAUUGUUUGAUCUCACCACGUAACGCUAUCUAGAUCACGUGUCGUUUACACAUCAGAUUGUGUAGUGGUGCGGCAUACUCAUCACUCGGGGUCUAUUUGUACUCCAGUAUGUAAUGCAAGUCACGCAGUUGUAUAUCAUUUUGUGUAUACAUGUAUGAUUAUUAAGCAUGUGAUUAAUUGUUUAUUAGGCAUAUGAUUAAUUGUUUAUGUGGCAUGUGAUGUAAUUGUGCGCACGUGAUUUUGUAUAUACAUGUACACUGUACAUAAUUAGUGGGAAGUGACAAGCACCCUUCCGCCACUUCUGAUUGUACACACGUCUCAUAGGUAUCUCCCAAUACGAAGGUUGUCCCAAAAUUCCGUGAAAUGGACUUUUAAAGUAUUGAUUUAAUUUCAUAAAAACUGUUAUAUAUUAGCAAGUAUACCAUUGUUGACCAAUACCCAAAAUUUCAUCUUUCUACUUUAUUUAGCUUUUUUGGAAAACUAUUUAUUUUACGAUUAGGCUCCUCAUGUUGUAAAAGUUUAAUUUCUUAGUGACGUUAGAUAAUUGAAAAACGCCGCUUGUUCAUGGAAUUUUGGGACAACCCUCGUACAUAGCUUGGAAACAAGUUAUUCAUUAUCAAUUCUUUAUUGCUCUUGAGUUAUACAACUCAUCGGCAUACAUCUAGUACCUGUACAUACAAAAUAUAUAUAAUUUUAUAAGGUAAUGUCCAACGGGUGAGUGGACAGGAGAAGAUAGGAGGAAAAUUACAAAUUUAAUAAUUAUAAUCACAUUAUGAGAUGCACAUGUUAUUAGAAAAAUACUAUAAAUGUAAUUACAAUGAC